ACGUCGACACCUACUGGAGGCAGCAGUUGGGAAUAUUGGACAAUGGAGGAAACUCUGAUCCAGUGACGCCGCGUGAAGGAAGAAGGUCUUCGGAUUGUAAACUUAUUUUGUCAGGGAAGAAAAAUGACUGUACCUGAAGAAAAAGCACCGGCUAACUACGUGCCAGCAGCCGCGGUAAUCUGAGCGGGCUGGCAAGGC
rnacentral:rRNA from 1 species